UGGGGAAUAUUGGACAAUGGGCGAAAGCCUGAUCCAGCCAUGCCGCGUGUAUGAAGAAGGCCUUCGGGUUGUAAAGUACUUUCAGCGGGGAGGAAGGCGAUAAGGUUAAUAACCUUGUCGAUUGACGUUACCCGCAGAAGAAGCACCGGCUAACUCCGUGCCAGCAGCCGCGGUAAUACGGAGGGGGCAAGCGUUAAUCGGAAUUACUGGGCGUAAAGCGCACGCAGGCGGUCUGUCAAGUCGGAUGUGAAAUCCCCGGGCUCAACCUGGGAACUGCAUUCGAAACUGGCAGGCUAGAGUCUUGUAGAGGGGGGUAGAAUUCCAGGUGUAGCGGUGAAAUGCGUAGAGAUCUGGAGGAAUACCGGUGGCGAAGGCGGCCCCCUGGACAAAGACUGACGCUCAGGUGCGAAAGCGUGGGGAGCAAACA
rnacentral:rRNA from 1 species